rnacentral:rRNA from 1 species
AUUGAACGCUGGCGGCAGGCCUAACACAUGCAAGUCGAGCGAGCGGCGGACGGGUGAGCAAUGUUUGGGGACUGCCCCACAGAGGGGGAUAACUACUGGAAACGGUAGCUACUACCGCAUCCUAUCGGAUAACCCAUAUGGGAUUAGCUAGUAGGUGCGGUAAUGGCUCACCUAGGCGACGAUCCAUAGCUGGUCUGAGAGGAUGAUCAGCCACACGGGGACUGAGACACGGCCCAGACUCCAACGGAGGCAGCAGUGGGGAAUAUUGCACAAUGGGCGCAAGCCUGAUGCAGCCAUGCCGCGUGUAUGAAGAAGGCCCUAGGUUUGUAAAGUACUUUCAGUCGGGAGGCGUUACCGACAGAGGAAGCACCGGCUAACUCCGUGCCAGCAGCCGCGGUAAUAC